rnacentral:lncRNA from 1 species
AAUUCUUCUUCAGGGUGGCCCAGGGAAGUCAGAAGAUUGGACAUCCCUGACCUAGAGGAUUUAUAAACUACAGAUAGUUGGGCCCCACUCCCAGAGCUUCUGAUUCAGUAGGUCUGGGGUAAGGCCUGAUGGUUUACAGUUCAAACAACUUGAUGCUGAUGCCACUGGGGUUAGGGACCACAUUCUGACAACCACUGCUCUAAACAAAUUCCAGGUAAUAAGAUAAUAAAGUAUGGUUUUUAUAAUUAUAUAGCAAGUUCCUUAUGGGAAAAGAACAAGAUCACAUAUUCUUUUGUGGUCCACUGCUUAGUAGUGCUUUAUUAAGUGCUUUUGAGUGAACAGAUUCAAUUGGUACUGUCAACCUCCUGGAGCCCAUGCCCUUUUACCACUCCUUGAAUUUAAAGCAAAACUGAAGAUACUAGAAAUCUGUGAGAAUCUCCAGGGCAGUGUGUGCCAUACUUUUUGGUAAACUCAAUUGGAGCAUUUACAAAAAGGAUACAUACCUACUGAGAAAAUUUUCUGUGAUUCUUACCAUCAUCUAAAAAGUUGGGGAAAUGUAGUCCUCUGGCCACAGCACCCCUGGUUCUCUAUUCCUGGGUGGCAUCUGGUCACUUUAUCUGAAUUCAGAUACUUCCCAUUCCCAUCCACUUUUUUGCUUCUGCAAUAGGUUUUAUACAGUGGAACCCAUACCCAGAGAUUCUGUUUCAGAAGAUUUGGGAUAGAUGCAGAAAUCUGCAUUUUAAACAAGCUACUCAGAUGAUUCUAAUGCAGGUGUUUUUCAUGCACCAUCUCACUGAGACCUCAACAAAGUUUUUAUGAGUUCUGUCUCUGGCGUGGUCUAAUGUAGCAGCACCAUUACUGUUCCUGAGUAAAAGCAUCCCGAUCUUGGGUUUUUGGUAUCAGUGUGA